UAGUGUGUAAGUCAAAAAUUCGAUGGGACUCGCAUCCGUCGUCCUCGCGCGGUCUUUCGUCCCGAUAUCCAGAAGCAGAGUUUGAAAAACUCUAGCGACGGCACGGGUGUCCGACUCACGACAACGAGGAUAGACAGCCGGUCCCCUCUGAACGGUAUAUUAUAUAUGCGAUGAUAGACGACAAACUGGAUGAAACUUUAAGUCUCGUUCAGGUAGUGUGUAAAUAAAAAAUUCGAUGGGACUCGCAUCCGUCGUCCUCGCGCGGUCUUUCGUCCCGAUAUCCAGAAGCAGAGUUUGAAAAACUCUAGCGACGGCACGGGUGUCCGACUCACGACAACGAGGAAAGACAGCCGGUCCCCUCUGAACGGUAUAUUAUAUGAAACUUUAAGUCUCGUAGUGUGUGUCUUGUAAAUCAAAAAUUCGAUGGGACUCGCAUCCGUCGUCCUCGCGCGGUCUUUCGUCCCGAUAUCCAGAAGCAGAGUUUGAAAAACUCUAGCGACGGCACGGGUGUCCGACUCACGACAACGAGGAUAGACAGCCGGUC